rnacentral:rRNA from 1 species
UACGUAGGGUGCAAGCGUUGUCCGGAAUUAUUGGGCGUAAAGGGCUCGUAGGCGGUCCAUCACGUCGGGAGUGAAAAGCUGGGGCUUAACCCCAGUCCUGCUUCCGAUACGGGUGGACUAGAGGUAGGCAGGGGAGAACGGAAUUCCUGGUGUAGCGGUGAAAUGCGCAGAUAUCUGGAGGAACACCGGUGGCGAAGGCGGCAUCCUGGACCGGCAUUGACGCUGAGGAGCGAAAGCCAGGGGAGCAAACGGG